GUAGGUGAGGUUCCAGGAGAGGCAGAAGCCGGAUUUUCUCAGCAUGCCCUGCAGGAAGCCUCACUGGGCUCCGGCCAUGCUUGUAUGACAGGGACGCCAACCACCUCCUCCCAAGCCACCCCGGGCAGUGCCCAGGCCCCACCCCACCCUGUGUGAUGGCUGAAACCAAGCAGGUCAUGCUCCUGUGUGUGGGGUGUGGCUUCAAGCACAGGGGCUUCUCUCUCUCCCUUUUUUUUGGUACCGGGGAUUGAACUCGGAACCUUGCACUCGUGAGGCAGGUGUCAAAAGCACUGAGCUAAAUCCCCAGCUCUUCCUUUUUUGGGGACAGAGUCUCACUGUGUAGCCCUGGCUGGCUUCAAACUCACCAAAAUCCCCCUGCCUCAGCCUCCUGAGUGUUGAGACUAUAGGUAGGAUUAUAGGUGUGCACUCCUUUUUUUUUCCUUCCAAUCCUAAGGCUAGAAUCCCAGGCCCUUGUGGGUGUGAGGCUAUUGCUCUGCCCCUGAGCCACACUCCCAGGGCACAGAGGGGCUCUUAUCACCCUCAACGAGUCCCAAAUCUUGCCCAGUGGCCAGCUCUUGAGAUGCCUGCUAUAAUGUUUCCAAGAUGGAAUCUAACUCCUUACUUGUUAUCACCCCAACUGGAGAAAAGGCCCCCAUGUUUCUCUCAUUAGAUCUGGGUGAAGCCAGGUAUGGGAUCACACGUCUACAAUCCCAGCACUCUGGGAGGCUGAGACAGGAGGAUCAAAAGUUCAAGCCCUGCCUAGGUGACAUAGCAAGUUAGUGAGCUCCUGCCUCAAAUAUAAAAUAAAGAGGACUGAAAAAAAAAAAUACAAGGGGAUUUAGCUCAGUGUUUCCGCUGCCUGCAUCACAAGCUCAAGGUCCCAAGUUUGAUCUCCAGGUCAAUAAAUAAAUAAAUAAUAAAAUAAAAUAAAGAGGGCUGAGGAGGUAGCUGAGUGGGACGGGCCUGAGUUCCGUCCCCACUACUGCAAAAAACGAAACAAAACCAGAGGUGAAAUGAUUCAUGCCUCAACCCCAGCUGCCUGGGAACCUGUCUUCCUGCAGGGAACACUUCCGGGGAGGCUGGAACGGCCCCACCUGCCCCUCUGGUGCCAGGCAUCUGGGAGAGAUCAAAUCCCAGUCUGGCUGGGGAUUUAGCUCAGUGGCACUGUGCCUGCCUCGAAAACGUAAGGUCCUGAGUUCAAUCCCUGGUACCCCCCCCCCCCAAAAUCCCAGUCAGCCUGUGGGGUGAGGUUAUGGAUUGGUUGCCAGGGAGAAUUCUCCUCGAAAACACGUGCAGGGUGCUUGCUGCCCCUGUUGGGUUCUGGAAGACUCUGUCUUGCGAGGCAGGUGGGGGAACCACUGAGCUAAAUCCCCGGCUAUUGGGUUUUGUUUUAUUGAGACAGAGUCCUGCUACGUAUUUCGGGCUGGACUUGAACUUACUGUGCAGGUCACCUUGUCCUCAAACUCCCAAAGAUCCUCCUGCUUCAGCCUCCCAAGCACUGGGAUUUCAGGCGUGUGCCACCAUCCCUGGCCUACUUUGGAUUUUUGAGACAGAGUCUGUCUUUGUACUCCAGGCUGGCCUUGAACUCUGGAUUCCCCUGCCUCAGCUUCCAGAGUGCUCAGAUCACAGGCAUGUGCCACCACACCUGGCUUCCCUUUUUAUUUAUUUAUUACUUUGCAUAUUUCCCUUUCCUGCCAGGUUGGUAAGGCUGUUCUAGAGAAGAAUAAACAUUUUCCUGGAUUUCAUUCAUCAUCCCCACCCCCACCCCGCCACCCCUGUACUGGGAUGGAACCCAGGGUGUGUGUGUGCAUGUGUAUGUGUGUGUGUGUGUGCACUCAUGUGUUCCUGGGCUGUGGCCGCUUCCCAGAGCUGCCCGGGCAUGCCGAGGGGGAGAAGGCUGCCCUCACGGGGUUUCCCACUGAGUAACUAGUUGCACUUGGGGUUGUCAGGUCACGGGGGAGCCCGAGGGCCUUCAGGUUCCCUAAUAAAACAUGAAUAAUGGUUUUGGAGCAUGGGAAAGGCAGAGGACAGAGGACACGCACCCAGCACACAGUGUCUUGUCACCUGAGCCCGCUGGGGGCAUCAGGAGCAGGGGCUGGUGGGUCGCAGGUCGCACUCUGUGAAUGGGGGCCCCAAGACCCCACGAUGUGUGGGCGCUGUGCUCCCUCGGUAGGGGUGGCCAAGUUCCGUAUGUGAGGGUUCUUUGGGCAGUUCUGGAUAUUGAAUCCGGGGAACACUGUGUUACACUCCUAGACCUUUUGAAUGUAUUUUGAGACAAAGGCUUGCUAAAUGGCCCAGGUUGUCCUCAAAUUUUUGAACCUCUUACCUCAGCCUCUCCAAUAGCUGGGACAACAGGGAUGAGCCACCAUGUCCAGUUCAGAUUAGGAUUCUUUGGGGGGGGGGUAUGGGGAUCGAACUCAGGACCUUGUACUUGUGAGGCAGGCACUGGAACCGCUAAGCUAAAUCCCUGGCCCCAGAUUAGGAUUUUUUUUUUUUUUUGGCACCAGGGAUUGAACUUGGGUCCUUGCCCUUGCGGAGCAGGCGGUGAAACCACUGAGCUAAAUCCCCGGCCCCAGGUUAGGAUUUUUGAUAAUCCGGAUGUGUUCAAGGAGAACAGGACAAGAUCUCGGGUACUAUGUUCCAGUGCUCCGAAAGCUGACUAGAACAUCAACUCUACCUGGCUGGGCAUGGUGGUGCACACCUGUAAUCCCAAUACUUGGGAGGCUGAGGCAGGAGGAUUUUAAGUUUGACCCCAGCCUGGUCAAUUUAG
rnacentral:lncRNA from 1 species